GAGUUUGAUCGUGGCUCAGAUUGAACGCUGGCGGCAUGCCUUACACAUGCAAGUCGAACGGCAGCACGGGAGCUUGCUCCUGGUGGCGAGUGGCGAACGGGUGAGUAAUGCAUCGGAACGUAUCCUGGAGUGGGGGAUAACGUAGCGAAAGUUACGCUAAUACCGCAUAUUCUGUGAGCAGGAAAGCGGGGGACCUUCGGGCCUCGCGCUCUUGGAGCGGCCGAUGUCGGAUUAGCUAGUUGGUGAGGUAAAGGCUCACCAAGGCGACGAUCCGUAGCAGGUCUGAGAGGAUGAUCUGCCACACUGGAACUGAGACACGGUCCAGACUCCUACGGGAGGCAGCAGUGGGGAAUUUUGGACAAUGGGGGCAACCCUGAUCCAGCCAUGCCGCGUGAGUGAAGAAGGCCUCGGUUGUAAGUAC
rnacentral:rRNA from 3 species